GAGAGGGGGAGAGCAAGAGGAGGCGAGAGGAGCAUUGCGUGUCUGUGUCUGUGUGUUUGUGGGAGAUAGAUAGAUAGAGAGUAAUAUCGCAAGAGAAAUCGAGAUAACGAAAGAUAUAGAGAGCGAGAGAGAGAGAGAGCGAGCAAGAGAGAGACGAUGAGGAGAGAGAGAGAGAGAGAGAGAGAGAGAGAGCGAUAUAGAGAAAAGAAGGAAGGAGGACAAGGCGGGCGGGGAUACAGAAGAAAGACAUUUCACUGACCGACAGACCGACCGCUAAAACGGCAACAUGAAGAGGAGCUUACAGAGAAUGUCUGCGCUGCUGGCCAUGUGUCUACUGAUGCAGGAAUUCCACCUCACCAUGCAGGUUGCAGGUGCGGCGAAGCAGCGUGAAGAGACAACGCAGACAAGCAUCAAUGAACUCGAUCAGGCGUUGGAGAUACAUGCCACGGGUUUUAGCUCCACACGUGAGAAGAGAGGUUAAAGAUGGUUUCCCGAUGUUU